CACCCAGGUGCCCCUUAACAACUAAAUUUAUAUAGUAUUCUGAAUCCUCUGUUGUCAUUUCAAAAAUCUUCAUUAGCAUCUUAACCAAAUUCCCUUUCAGGAAACCCCUUCCAUUGUUCAUCUGAAGCAGUUCCUCAUCUAUUAAAAAGUUCUGUCAUGAGAUUGCCGCAGUUCAGUUACAUCUUCAGGCUCCGCUUCUAAUUCUAGUUCUCUUGCUCUUCCACCCCUUCUGCAGUUAUUUCUUCCACUGAAGUCUCGAAUCCCUCAAAGUCAUUCUUGAGGGUUGGAAUCAGCUUUUUUUAAACUCCUAUUACUGUUGAUAUUUUGACUUCUUCCCGUGAAUCAUGAAUGUCCUUAAUGGCAUCUGGACUGGUGAAUCCUUCCCAGAAGGUUUUCAAUUGACUUUGCUCAGAUCUGUCAGAGGAAUUACCAUCUCUGGCAGCUCUAGCCUUGAGAAAUGUAUUUCUUCAAUAGUAAGACUAUAAGGUUGAAGUGACUCCUUGAUCAAGAGGCUGCAGAAUGGAUAUUGUGUUAGCAGGCCUGAGAACAACAUGAAUCUCUUUGUCCAUCUCCCUCAGAGGUCUUGGGUGACCAGGUCCAUUGUCAGUGAGCAGUCAUAUGUUGAAAGGAAUCUUUUCUGAGCAGUAGGUCUCAACAGUGGGCUUAAAAUUCUCCGUACACCAUGUUGUACACAUGCGCUGUCAGCAGGCUUUGUUGCUCCAUUGAUAGAACACAGGCAAAGUACAUUUAGCAUCAUACUUAAGGGCCUUGAGAUUUUUGGAAUGGUCAGUGAGCAUUAGCUUCAACUGAAAGUCACCAGCUACAUUAGCCCCUUAUAAGAGAGUCAGCUCCAUAGCUAUGAAAGUCCCAGAUGGCAUCUUUUUCCAGUAGGAGGCUGUUUCACCUACACUGAAAACCUCUUGUUCAGUGAAGCCGCCUUCAUUCAUGAUCUUAGCUAGAUCUUCUGGAAGAACUUGCUGCAGCUUCUACAUCAGCACUUUCUGCUUCACCUUGCACUUUUAUGUUAUAGAGAUGGUUUCUUUCUUUAAACCUCAUGAACCAACCUCUGCUAGCUUCAAACCUUUUUUCUCCAGCUUCCUCACCCCUCUCAGCCUUCAUAGAAUUGAAGAAUUAGGGCCUUGCUCUGGAUUAGGCUUUGGCUUAAGGGAGUGUUUUGGCUGUUUUGAUCUUCUGUCCAUAUCACUGUUCAUAUCCCAUAUCCAAGACCCCUAAAAUAUUCUCCAGAUCAGCAACAAGGCUGUUUUGCUUUCUUACUGUUUUGUGUGUGUGCUGGAGUCGCACUUUCAGUUUCCUUGAAGAACUUUUUCUUUCCUUUUGCAACUUGGCUAACUGGUGCAAGAGGCCUAGCUUUUGGUCUAUCUCAGCUUUUGACAGGACUUCCUCACUAGCUCUAAUAUUCUCUAGCUGGUGAUUUAAAGUGAGAGACAUGCAACUCUUCCUUUCACUUGAACACUCAGAUGCCAUUGUAGGGUUACUGAUUGGCCCAGUUUCGAUAUAAUUGUGUCUCAGGGAAUAGGAAGGCCCAAGGAGAAGAAGAGAUGGAGGAAUGGCCAGUCAAUGGAGCAGGUAAGUUUGCUGUCCUCUGUGGGUGCACUUCAUGACCUCCAAAACAAUUAGAAUAGUAAUAUCAAAGGUCACUUGGUCACAGAUCACCAUAAGAAAUAAUAAAAAUGAAAAAAUUUGAAAUAGUAUGAGAAUUACCCAGAUGUGACAAAGAGACAUGAAGUGAGCAGUUGCUGUAAGAAAAAUGGCACUGAUAGAUGUGCUUGAAGCAGGGUUGCCACAGAGCUUCAAUUUGU